GGAAUAUUGGGCAAUGGGCGAAAGCCUGACCCAGCAACGCCGCGUGAGUGAAGAAGGCCUUCGGGUUGUAAAGCUCUGUUAUAGGGGACGAAGUGCGUGACGGUACCCUAUAAGGAAGCCCCGGCUAACUACGUGCCAGCAGCCGCGGUAAUACGUAGGGGGCGAGCGUUGUCCGGAAUGACUGGGCGUAAAGGGCGUGUAGGCGGCGGAUUAAGUCUGGAGUGAAAGUCCUGCUUUCAAGGUGGGAACUGCUUUGGAUACUGGUCUGCUUGAGUGCGGAAGAGGUAAGUGGAAUUCCCAGUGUAGCGGUGAAAUGCGUAGAGAUUGGGAGGAACACCAGUGGCGAAGGCGACUUACUGGGCCGUAACUGACGCUGAGGCGCGAAAGCGUGGGGAGCGAACA
rnacentral:rRNA from 1 species